GAAAAAAAUCGGAUGUACUAAGCACUGCCGAGUCAUUGUAGUAAUACAAGGCAGACAGCUCAGUAACGCGUAGUCCAUUUAACCUAUGGACGGGAAUAACCUCGGGAAACUGAGUAUCCCUGCCCGAUAGAACAUUAUGCCUGGAAUGGUUUAUGUUCCAAAUGAUUUAUCGCCGUAGGAUGGGACUGCGGCCUAUCAGUUUGUUGGUGAGGUAAUGGCCCACCAAGACUAUUACAGGUACGGGCUCUGAGAGGAGUGGCCCGGAGAUGGGUACUGAGACACGGACCCAGGCCCUAUGGGGCGCAGCAGGCGAGAAAACUUUGCAAUGUGCGAAAGCACGACAAGGUUAAUCCGAGUGGUUUCUGCUAAAGGAACCUUUUGUCGGUCCUAGAAACACCGAUGAAUAAGGGGUGGGAAAGUUCUGGUGUCAGCCGCCGCGGUAAAACCAGCACCUCAAGUGGUCAGGAUGAUUAUUGGGCCUAAAGCAUCCGUAGCCGGCUUUGUUAGUUUUCGGUUAAAUCUGUACGCUCAACGUACAGGCUGCCGGGAAUACUGCAGAGCUAGGGAGUGGGAGAGGUAGACGGUACUCGGUAGGAAGGGGUAAAAUCCUUUGAUCUAUUGAUGACCACCUGUGGCGAAGGCCGUCUACCACAACACGUCCGACGGUGAGGGAUGAAAGCUGGGGGAACAAACCGGAUUAGAAACCAGGGUAGUCCCCAGCUGUAAACUAUGCAAACUCAAUGAUGCAUUGGCUUGUGGUCAAUGGAAUGGCUUGCAGGGAAAACGUUUAGUUUGCCCCCUUGGGAAUACGUUACGCAAGUAUGAAACCUCAAGGAU
rnacentral:rRNA from 1 species